rnacentral:lncRNA from 1 species
UCUCAUUUGCCAGUCAAGAAACCCUAGCAACAAAGACAAUGAGCCCCAGAAGAUUCCAGCCAGAGGGAAUCACCAGUGAGAUCUUGCCAGUCUGAAUAUUCUGUAUCCCUGGAAACACCUCAGUUUGGGAGCAGCUGUUGACUCCAUCAUACAUCAAAACUCUCUCCUCAGACAACUGUAAUUUGACCUUAGAUGGUCACUUCAGCAAACUCUCCAUGGAGAUAUGCACUGACUACAGGGAGAAGCCAGGCCUGAGUCUAAGAACAGCCUAGAUGGAAACAGCCCAUGAAAGACAGCAGAGUUUCCUGUACAGUUCAGUCAAAGGCCAGUUCUGUUCUGUAAGUCGUUCUAUAAACAUCUUGAAUUCACAUAUUCAACACCAUUCACCCUUUAAUUUGUAUA